GAUGAACGCUGGCGGCAUGCUUAACACAUGCCAGUCGGACGGGAAGUCGUUUUUCCAGUGGCGGACGGGUGAGUAACUCGUAAGAACCUGCCCUUGGGAGGGGGACAACAUCUUUAAUCGGCUGCUACUACCCCGUAGUCUGACGAGCAAAAGGAGGAAUCCGCCCGAGGAGGGGCUUGCGUCUGAUUACCUAGUUGGUUAGGCAAUAGCUUACCAAGGAGAUGAUCAGUCGCUGUUCCGAGAGGAUGAUCAGCCACACUGUGACUGAUACACGGACCAGAGUACUACGGGAGGCAGGAGUGGGGAAUAUUCCGCAAUGGGGGAAAGCCUGAGGGAGCAAUGCCGCGUGGAGGUAGAAGGCCCACGGGUCGAGAACUGCUUUUCAAGGAGAAGAAGCAAUGACGGUAUCUGGGGAAUAAGCAUCGGCUAACUCUGUG
rnacentral:rRNA from 1 species